GCAGAGUGUGAAGGUUCAAUCAGCAGGAUGAAGACCACCCUGAGCUGAUCUGUGAGGUGGGAGCUGCAGGAGCAGAGACAGGAACAGAACCCUGAUGAGCUUCUGGACCCACUUGUCCUGGUCGGGGUGGGCCACGCACAGCUUCAUGUUCUUAUUGUUGAUGAAGCUGCAGAUCAAACACACAGUCAGAAACUCAGAGUGUCUCUGAUGGAGGAGGCAGGUUUGUGUGACUGACUGAAUAUGACCUGGACCUCCUGUCCCUCCUGUCCCUCCUGGACCUGUGGACUCAGACCUGUCCUCAUUAUAAAAACUGUCCAUAUAACCAAGUUUUACCGUUUUAUAUCAGCUGAAAUGUAGUUGAACU